GGCUCUCGGAGUCCCAGGAAGCUUCUAGAAAAGGGAAAGGGAUACAGUGUGAUUUGGGAGCUUUCCAAUAGUUGGGAUACCUUAUUUCCACACAGAACCAGCCUCUGCCCUGAGUUCAGAUAUCUCUUAGUAGGUCUCAGCUCUCAGCAAUAUUACCGGUUCUAGGAACCUGCCCCCAUCAAAGGGACUCCACCCCUUCCCUGGCCACUGCUGAUUGGACUGGGCUGGCCACCUGACUCAGGCUGGAUUAAUCCAUUUUCUCUGCCAGGAAAUCAGACAGAGGUAAGGGGUCUUUGAUACUGUGUCCCUUGAUGGCUGUUUUCCACGGCAACUGGCCUCAGAGCCCUGCUGCUGACCUUCAGGAUUGCCCGGUCCCUGCCCUUCCUGGAUCCUGGCUCUUCAGCUUCCCUCCAUCUUGUGACACACUCUGGCAUCCUCCUACUGAAUUCCACCUUUGGCUGAGUUGGCUUCUGCCCCUGGCCUCCAAAAGCACCUUCACUACUACAGACUGGCCGAGGGAGUUGGGAUCGGAGUUAGUGUGUCGAAGGUUGUCCCUGUGAUUCCAAAUUGGGCCGUCCCUAAGAAAUGGGCCCAUCUGGUCAGUUUCCUAAAGAAACCACGAGAUGCCAAGGCUGAAGCUGUCGUUUGUUGAAAGAGCUGUGGCAGCCUGUGGCAGCCUGGGAAAGACACUUUGUGCUGCAGCUGGCACUCGCCCCUGAGAUGCCGGAAGCUCAUCAGUGAGGGGCAUAGGAAGAAGCGAGCUAAGGGGAGGCUGGCGGGGGCCUGCACGGGGCAUCACCCUCAUUCCUCGUUGGACAGAGCCCGCUAGGGGAUGAAAGAGAUGUUCAAGAUCACUCCCAUAGUUCUGGGAGGCAGGGAAACUUCAGUGAAUGAGAUUCCCGUUUCUGGAAAUUUACCUGAAGGCUGGUGUGGUAGGUGAGACAGCCCCCUGCAAUCCCUGCCCCUGGUGGUCAGGUCCCCGUGCAGUCUCCUCCCAUGUUAACUAGGGCUGACCUGGGCGACCAGUAGGAUAUGGCAUGUGGUUCUUGAGGCUAUGUCAUAAAAGACCUCAUAGCUUCAGCCUUCUCUUCGGGAUCACUCACUGUGGGGAAGCCAGCCACCAGCCCUACAGAGAGGCCCACGAGGUGAGGAACUCAGGUCACCUGCCAAGCAUCAGCACCCACUUGUCAACCAGGUGAGUGAGCCACAUCCCAGUCAAGCCUUCAAGCGCCUGCAAUCCCAUCGGGCAUCUUGACCACAACUUCAUGCGAGACCCUGGGUCAGAGCCCCCACAGAAUCUGUGAGACAAUAAAUGUCUGUUGUUUUCAGCUGCUAAGUCUGGGGGCGAUCUAGCAAUAGACGACUAAUAAUGGAGGAUGAGUAUGUGCUGGCUCGGAACUUUCCAGAAAACGUCACAAAGGGGACUACGGGAUAAAACUUGCAUCAAGGGGACCUCGGGCACCAAAGGCAGCCAUGGGGAUUCCCUGACUUCUAUAUCAGGGAGAAGGGGAAGGGAAACCCCUUUGGCAAUUGAGGGAAUGGAGCCCAGACCAUUGGAAAUAGCUGCUAACGCCCGUGUUCUUUUAGGGUCUGUCCGGCUUCAUCACCAUGACAGACAAAAUAAGUUUAACAGAAAAUAUCGGGAUUGCUGAGUGCCCCUCCUCGGGAUAGUGAGAGACCCACCUCUUCUCCUGUGUCUACCAGUCCAGUGGACGCCAUCCUGUUUUGCUUGCAAGCAAAUGAGUCCUGUUCACAGCACAAAGAAGUUUUGUCUGGUAGAAAAGAGACUCAUGAUUUUACCUUUCUGAGAAUUAUAUCUGAGCAGAUCGCUGGUCCCCAAGGAAUCUACAAAGUCUCUCGCACCAUCCAUCCCUCCUGCCCCCCAAUCUGUUCAGGUGGCACCAGCAGCUGCAUCCUCUGGGUCGCCACUGUGCCCAGAACAGACUUCGAGGACAAGCUGCCCUUGUGUGCUUCUCUGCCAGCGUCUCCCUCCAGACUGCCAGCUCCCGAGGGUAGGGGCCAGGUCUGAUUCUUGCUGGAUCUGCAGAGCUCAGUAGAUGCUGUUGAAUGAAUUUAUGAAUAUACUUGGUCUGGACCACACCUCACUGCUGGUGAAGGAGCCUGGUGUAUGGGAAGGGCAAUUCAUUCAUGUGGCCUCUGAGCCUCAGUUUUUGCAUCUGCGAAAUGAGGAUAUUUCCUAUGUGCUGAUGGGAAGGGUGUCUUAAGUAACUGCUGCAUAGUUUCCAUCUUCUUCUUUUAAUUUCUAUCGCCACCUCCCACCCCACCCCCCAGGAUAGUAUGAACAAGAACAGGGUCAUUUCCUCUGACUCUCCACCCUGAAAGGCCCACAGAAAGUGUCCAGUGACGUACUGCCACUCGGUUCAUAAAUGAGAAGGGGCCAGGGUGCCCACAGCCGGCGGACAAGCAGCAGGAUCUACUCAGCAGAAGCCUUGCACUCCAAUGCUGGGGGGUUGAGGGCAAAGGGAGGGCUGGAGACCCGAACACGAACAGGAACCCCAAGGAAAUAACUGAAGGGAGAGAAUGGCUGGAAGAGGCUGGAUUUCAAGAAGCCACAAGUCCCGGCCCCAGCCCCAGGAACGCACCUGCUUCUCUGGCCCCUCCUUCCCUAAACAGCAUCAUCUGCUGAGAAAGCAGACUUCUGAAUUCCUGGGGUUCGGGCGCCAUCUCGUGGCCAUUUCUGAAACUGCCCAUCCCGGCUGAGCAGAGCCCAGAGGUCCAAGAGCAACGGGGAACCAGGCCAACACUCCUCCAACUUUCCUGGCCCCCACCCUCUUCAUCCUCACCUUCUCCCUUCCAUUUAUUGAGCACUGAAUAUAUUCCAGUCUCCGUGUUCAGCCCCUUUCAGGACUUUAGCACGUUUAAUUCUUGGAACAACCUUAAAAGGCAGGUAACACUAGUACCAUUUUACAGAUGAUGAAAGUGAGGCACAGAGAGGAAAAGGAGGUUUCCCAAGGCCGUACAGCUAAGGAAGUGGGCUAGAAGAGCUCCUCUCUGUACAGGAGAGGGGACAGUGAGGCAUUUGAUCCUGCUGCUUCGGAGACAGUUGGCUUUGCGGUCCUUUAGCUCUAAUUCAAAUACCUUUUCGGUGCUGACUCUGUGCCAGACCCUGCACUGGGUGCAGUUACUGGGGUCCAGUAACCCCCUCAGUCCCUAUUAACCCCCUCCAUGGCACUUAUCACUGUAUGGUCUGAUUUCCUUCUUCAGUGUCCAUCUCCCACCAAAACUGUGGGCUUCCUGAGACAUAGGGACCGAUAGUCUGUUUUCUUUGCUGCUGCAUCUCUAGAACUCCGAACUGAUCUCAGAACACAGAAUCAGUGCCCCAUUAACAUUUGUGAAUGACCUAACAAAUCAGUGAAUGAGUACAAUUAAAACAAAACAAAACAAAAAAACAACUAGGGGCACCUGGCUGGCUUGGUGAGAAGAGCAUGCGACUCUUGAUCUUGGGGUCAUGAGUUCGAGCCCCACACUGGGGGUAGAGAUGACUCAAAAAUAAAAUCUUUAAAAACGUAAAAGAACUACAAGAACUAAAAACAAAACAAAACCCACCAACUAGUCUCUGCCGUCAAGGCACUGACAGUCUAGUGUGGAAGGCAGAUUGGUAAAGGGCAGGUGUGGUUCCUGUCCCCACCCCUCCCCCUCCUCCCCCCCCAACCCCGCCUUCCCUCAGUGCUUUCCCAGAGGGAGCUUCAGGAGCCCAGAAAAGGCUCCUAACGUAGCCCUGCCCCGAGCCCUGAGGACAAGGCAGCAGAGCUGAGACUCACACAGGAAGGAAGGGAAAAGGCUCUACAGGUAGAGACCACAGGGCGAGCAAGUGCCUGGAGAGGAGAGCCCGCCUGCCGGAGCCUGCUUGCCCUGUGCGCACUGUGAACUCCAAGCCUCCAGGAGGACCGUCAGGGGAAGGGGAGAGGCCAGAGGGGAAUUCACCCAGCUAGCCACUUCAGACAAAUCCCUCCCUCGACUCGGCCUCAUAUUCCUCCUCCCCAAAAUGGGAACGAGGCGAGGAUGAAAUGAGACACAGGGCUGGCACACAGAAGGGAAGCUUAGGUCCCCCAAUGGCUUGCCCCACAACCCCGGAUGCACUUCAGGGGCAUAGCCUGGGGUGGGGUGGGCAGUAGCUGGGCUCCGGAGGCCACCAGGAAGUAGCCUGAGACUCAGCGCUGGAGGGGGGAAGCACAGCGCCAUCUGCUUUAAAUCAGCAGCGCCUCAGAGGUGGCAGCACAAGGAGGUCCCUGGGUCCGAGUACCCAACCCCACGAGACAGCAGGUCCGCCCUGUGAUGAAUGCACGGGCACCAAGUCGAGGAGGAACCAGGCCGGGCCUCACAGAGAGGGCACGGGAUAGAGACCCUCGGAGGAGCCAAUAAUCCUUUCUUGUUUAUUAAGCAUCUUCUGUGUUCCAGCUAUUAGAAACCCUGGCAAAGCAGCAGACGGUAAGCCAACGUAGUGUGUGUGCGUGGUGGUGUUGAAAAUUUCUUCUAGGGAGAAAAAUAAACACAGGAAGGGGAAUAGGGACUGUGGGGGUGGUUGGCAAUUUUAAAUAGAAUGGUGCCGGAGAGCCUUCAGAGAAGAGACCUUCAAAUAGAGACCAGAAGAUGUGGUAUGGGAGGAAGCCGUGAGGAUAUCUAAGGGAGGAGGGUCCGGGGCUGAGGGGAAAGCAAGUGCAAAUGCCCUGGGGCAACAUCGUGCCUGCUGUGGUUCAAGGAGCAGUAAAGAAACCAGAGAGGGGACUGAGUGGGCAGAGGUAGGGGCCGGAUGGAGUAGGGCCGUCUAGACCACUGGGAAGCCCAAAUGAGCGUCUAACAUGUAGCGACAGAGGUACACGAUAGGAGAAAAGCACAGACCCGCUCAUUAGGCAACUCUAAACUUGUGUCUCAUUACCCAGCCACACCUCCCGCAGUGCGCUAUGAAUUAAUAUUUUCUAUAAAUCCUGUAAUUAUCCUGUGAAUAGCACAAUUAUAUUGCAUUGUAUUUUGUGUGUUAAAAGCACUCAUUUGUUAAAUGUAAACAUUUAAAAUAUACCACGUAUUAUGCA